UACGUAGGGUGCAAGCGUUAUCCGGAUUCACUGGGUUUAAAGGGUGCGUAGGCGGAUAUGUAAGUCCGUGGUGAAAUCUCUGGGCUUAACCCGGAAACUGCCAUGGAUACUAUGUGUCUUGAAUGUUGUUGAGGUGAGCGGAAUAUGUCAUGUAGCGGUGAAAUGCUUAGAUAUGACAUAGAACACCAAUUGCGAAGGCAGCUCACUAAGCAAAUAUUAACGCUGAGGCACGAAAGCGUGGGGAUCAAACAGG
rnacentral:rRNA from 1 species